CUACGGGUCGCAGCAGUGGGGAAUUUUGCGCAAUGGGGGCAACCCUGACGCAGCAAUACCGCGUGAGUGAAGAAGGCCUUUGGGUCGUAAAGCUCUUUUCUAAGGGAAGAUAGUGACGGUACCUUAGGAAUAAGCACCGGCUAACUCCGUGCCAGCAGCCGCGGUAAUACGGAGGGUGCGAGCGUUGUUCGGAUUUACUGGGCGUAAAGGGCGCGUAGGCGGCUUAGCAAGUUAAGGGUGAAAUCCCGGGGCUCAACCCCGGAACUGCUCUUAAAACUGCUAAGCUAGAGAUGGUCAGAGGCGGGUGGAAUUCCAGGUGUAGAGGUGAAAUUCGUAGAUAUCUGGAGGAACACCGGUGGCGAAGGCGGCCCGCUGGGGCCAUUCUGACGCUGAUGCGCGAAAGCGUGGGGAGCGAACGGGAUUAGAUACCCUGGUAGUC
rnacentral:rRNA from 1 species